AGCUUCACCAGCCUUUCCAGGUUGAGAGAGGAGUGUGGGUGGGCUCUCCCUCUUCUUCACCCUUCUGUAUUAAAGUAGCUGGAGUGGCAGAGGGGGCAUGAUGUGGAAAGACGGUGCCAGCACUAGACAUCUGCCUUCAUAAGGGAUUCAGAACCAGCCAGAGCGUGAGGGAAAUCACAUUUCAAAUACCAUGCUCACUUUUCUUUUUAGGACGUUGUGUCCCUGAACACCUUCAGAUUCUCCAGUGUCGCAGAACUUGUCCUAACCUGGUACAAGGCUGUCUUUCUACAUGUGGGGCGUGGAGGCAGUAGGAAGCAGCGUGGAGGUGAUCAGAAGGGCAAAGAGGUCGUGGCAAGCUUCAGCAAAUACCCAGGAGAGUUUGGAGACCCCGGGAAGACCCAGCUCUGGUGGCUGCUGGACUGAAUCCAUCCAUGAAGAUCUCGAGGAUGCUGGAGGAUUUUAGGGAGUUUGGCAGAGAAAAGGCAGGAACUACGGAAGCAGAGGGCAACCGAUAUAUGGGUGACAUCUUGUAUCCAGAGCUGAGCAAGACAUUCCUCCGAAUCUACCUCCUUGGUACCACAGUCCUUGGGGCACCAGGAAGACUCUUCCUUCUGUGAUUUUCCCAUCAGGCUCUCUGUCUUCAGAGUUUCCUCGGGAACACAGAUAUAUUUGCCCAGGGUCCCUAUAAGCAGAAAGUUCCCCGUUAUGCAAGCGACUGCUCCAAAAAGGGAAAGCAGGAGCCAACACACUGGCGACCGAAUCUCUCAGCCAGGUUUCCCUGGAACUUUGUCAAGCAGCAUCCUCCAUCUCAGGAUCCCUCGUGCCAUGGCCUGCGCCACUCUUGUCUCUUGAUCACAAUAAAGGGCAGACUCUCUCAGACAUCCGCAGGAGUCAGGCUGCUCUCAGCAGGUGUCCAUGAAACCCUUCCACUCCUACUGAAUCCUCCAGGGCCCUCACACACUGAGAGGAGCGCUGGAAGGCUCAGCCCAUCAGUUAAUGUUUUAAUUCUGCCUGGCAUGGAAGCUGCUCUCAGAGAGGUCUGUGUAGAAGGUAGCAGAAUCGACUCUCUGUGUGAUCAUGUGCCACCCAUGACACCUUUUGUGGCCUGUGUUGGGACCACACAUUACCUCGCCCAUCAGGGCUCAUUUUGACUCUUCUAAGACUGCAUCGUGUGACUCAGGUAAUGUUCAGUCAUGGGGUCUCUACCCUCCUGGCCAAGGAUAAGAAUUGCCUCUGUCUCCUUUGGUUUGGUGAUGCUUCACAGUGAGAACUGCCUAAAAAUAUCCUGUGUACCCCAGAGACACGGGAAGGACAAGAGAAGAGAGGGACAAUGGAACAAAGGGCAGUCUCCCUGCAAGUCAGGUAACGACACCCCACCUUCCUUUAAUCUAGGCUAGGAGCUUUGUUUUCUACUAAGACAGGGUGGGUUGAACUAGAACAGAUCACGAAUGACCAGGGAGACUUGUCACGGGCCCUUUCCCCUUGCUUUCUCUGACACUGAUCACCAUACACAGCCUGCUGCAGUUCCCUGUGGACGGCCAGAGUGGAGAGAACUUUUUGUCCAAAGUCCUAUGGCUCCUGAGCAAUG